rnacentral:lncRNA from 1 species
GGUGUUACCACUCAAAUACAAUGUACAUAAACCUAUGUAUUCAUGUUGCAAAUGAUUACAACUACUAAAUUUCAAUCUUCUUAAUAAAAAAACACGAUUGUAAGCAAUGAGAAAAUUCAAAUGGUAUGCAUUGGGAAUUAAUUACAAUUAGGACUAAAAUGAUGUGCUAGUUUACAUAGUUAUCCCUAUAUAAAUUUCUCUAAUUAUUAGCUCAGAUUCGAACCCGCCAUCAAGCUCACUCUAUAUUGAUAAUAGCCCAAUACCCCACUUCUUUAGCGUAGUCCUG